UUAUGUCAUGUUAUCGAUAUGUGAAUACAUAGCAUAUCAGAAGGCACACCCGGAGAACUGAAACAUCUUAGUACCCGGAGGAAGAGAAAGAAAAUUCGAUUCCCUUAGUAGCGGCGAGCGAAACGGGAAGAGCCCAAACCAACAAGCUUGCUUGUUGGGGUUGUAGGACACUCUAUACGGAGUUACAAAGGACGACAUUAGACGAAUCAUCUGGAAAGAUGAAUCAAAGAAGGUAAUAAUCCUGUAGUCGAAAAUGUUGUCUCUCUUGAGUGGAUCCUGAGUACGACGGAGCACGUGAAAUUCCGUCGGAAUCUGGGAGGACCAUCUCCUAAGGCUAAAUACUCUCUAGUGACCGAUAGUGAACCAGUACCGUGAGGGAAAGGUGAAAAGCACCCCGGAAGGGGAGUGAAAUAGAACCUGAAACCGUGUGCUUACAAGUAGUCAGAGCCCGUUAAUGGGUGAUGGCGUGCCUUUUGUAGAAUGAACCGGCGAGUUACGAUUUGAUGCAAGGUUAAGCAGUAAAUGUGGAGCCGUAGCGAAAGCGAGUCUGAAUAGGGCGUUUAGUAUUUGGUCGUAGACCCGAAACCAGGUGAUCUACCCUUGGUCAGGUUGAAGUUCAGGUAACACUGAAUGGAGGACCGAACCGACUUACGUUGAAAAGUGAGCGGAUGAACUGAGGGUAGCGGAGAAAUUCCAAUCGAACCUGGAGAUAGCUGGUUCUCUCCGAAAUAGCUUUAGGGCUAGCCUCAAGUGAUGAUUAUUGGAGGUAGAGCACUGUUUGGACGAGGG
rnacentral:rRNA from 1 species